rnacentral:lncRNA from 1 species
UCGAAUUCUUCCCCAAAGGGGUGAAAAGUGUGUUUCUGUGCCUAAGCCAUCAAAAGAUACCAACCCUAAGAUGUUCUGGCCUUUAAAUAGGGCAUAAAAAUAACAUAAAACAAGCCCAAGCCCAAACAGAUCAUAAAAAACACAGAAAACAGGUCCAAGCCCAACGGACCACCGCCCGACGGUGUAAGCCGUCGCCCGACGGUUUCACUCAAAACCGCCCAGCGCCAACGCCAGUGCCUACUCCUCGUCCUGGACCGCCCGGCGGUGUAAGUUUCUGCCGGGCGGUGCGUCGACUCCUC